UUUUCCUUAAAACUAAGGAUCUAGACCCCAGCAAGCUCUCCUCCCUGCCCUUCUUGUCAUCACACCACGAAGUACUGGAACAAUGUACCUCUUAACCUAACAGGCCUGUUAAUCAAGAGGUCUAUAUGGCUGCUUAUUACAAAACUCCCUUCCCAUUAUGUUGCACUUUCAAAGAAUCUCUUAACUAGCUGCAGUCAAGAGCACCCCCCCCUGCUGGCAUCAGAAUGAAUUUUUCCAAUUCAAUUUGCUGGCUGCUCAAAACUAAAAAUGCCAGCUGAUUGCUAGUUCAGACAGCUCUGUGUUCAGCCACUUGUGCGUACUUGAAAUUAUCUGAAUGCAGUUUGAAGACUACAGCAGAAAUUUUGUAAUUAGAAUUCUGCAAUGUAGAUGGUAAUUUUUCCCCCUUGGUAACACACAGAGAUCAGAUAAACAGGAAGCAAAUUGAAGAACUUUGCAACAUGAAUGGCGAUCUGCUUCAAGUAGAAAAAAGAGAAAGGGAGGAAGAUAUCUUUGUGAUCUGAAGUCUUGGUCUGAUGAGACUCUUACAUUCUACUUGCAGAAGAGCUGCCUCAACAAUACAGACAAUCAAAGCAGAAUGAACCUAGCCAGGUGUGAAGCCGAAGUAGUAGCAGAUACCUUGUGAACACAUUAGCAUGAUGUUGUUGGUUUUGCUAUCUGAAGCAUCCUGUUGUAGAAACUCAACAUAAUUCAAAGCUGCUGUACCAAUUCCUGAGUUUGCUUUUGAGACAGGAAACCCACACCUGUUAGCCUGCAUAGAUCAUCACUGGAGCCUACAGCAGCAAUUUUUACUCCAGGUUCUGUUAGACUGGCACCAGGAGUAAAAACACACAUCAGAUGUUACCAAGAGCCAGUACGCAAAGAUGGUGCAGAGGAAAAACAGAAUGAAUUUAAGAACCACUCAUUACAUUAAAGCACAAUGUCAAGAUUUUGAGUGCUUUUUUUUUAUUAAUAAGAUAAAUUCAACUUCGUUAAUUUUUACAAAAAUAUUAAAGUAUGGGCUUGAAAGAAGCAAAGAAUCUGUUAUACUUGUACAGCUACCAUUAAAUUCUGUACUCAUAAUACAACAGAUGUGUUCUGGUGCUCUGGCUUUACACUUGAUGCAUUUAAACUUUGAUGUGAGUGAAUGGACGGUCUGUUCGUUCCUGAAAGAGCUUGCCCUUCUGCAGCCAUGACAUUAAUACAUUUCAAUAUGGAUUAGUACAUACUGCAUUAUCCUCUAGUAGGAUAUUAUGAUUUCAUAUCCUUUGAUGGUUCCAAGAACAGUUUAGUAUAGCACUUUUUCCCCGGUCAGAAAGCUAACAGAAUAGUGUGUCAUAAGAGAAAAAAACCCUUCUGUACAAUAAAGAGAAGGAGCCUUAUAAGCAAGCAUCUUUAGCUUUUGCAGAAUUUCAGAAAUAAAUGCACUUGCCCUUAGGAAUUCACGGAACUCAAAUGUUAUAAUGAUGGUAGAGACUACUUGCUUUAAAAAGCAUAGGAAUUUUAAGGGAAGCUAUUUUUCAAGGUCAUUGUAAAUACAGGCAAAAUAAGACAAUAAUCCUGUUCUAGUGGUUGAAUACUCUUUCAUAUUGGUGGGUUUUUUUCAUUUUUCUUUUCUUUUAGCAUAAUCUUCACAAAGCAAAACAUUGUUAAACUUUGUCAGCAUUAUAAAAAAUUGGCUCUUGGUAGCAUAGAAUACAUCAUUAAGCAAGUUAACGUUAAAUUUACUCAUAACAUUCUUGUAUUUCACAGUAUCACAGGAUUGUAGGUGUUGGAAGGGACCUGUACGGAUCGAGUCCAACCCCCUGCAAAGCACAGGAGCCUUUCACUUAUUCUCAACUUUCUGAAUAAUUUCCCUGGAAAUAGACUUAAGUUCUAAUACGUGUAUUAAAUAUAGGUAGAGAUAUAUCAUUAUUGUUAUAUUGUACUACGUAUUAUUAUUUUACAGAUAGAAAUAUAGUCUCUUGUGCUCUGUGAGGACAGUGAAUCACUGGCAGUCAGACCUUAUUUUGACUUUGCACUUGGGCAGAACUGCAAGUCUGCUUAGGUAGAAAGAAAAGAUUUGAACAGCAAGGAAGCUGCAUGUCAGAUAAACAGCACUCUAGCAGAAAUCUGCAGAGAAAUAACAUACAGGUUGCCUACGCAUACUUGAAUUGUGUCUCCUUUCUUGAAUGCUAACCUCAAAAUACUAGCUAAGUUCUAAAAAAGUAUAAAUAAAAUAUACACCUUCUUAUAUCACUGGAUUUAUUCCAACUUUUCAACAUAGGAAUCUGAGGGAUGCUAUACACUUGAGCACACUAAGAUGGAGCCAUUCCUUAACAUUUGGAUUUCUGCAACUAAAUCUAAGUCUCAGUGUCUUUUUAUACACAUCAGUUACAUACUGUAUGAGAAUAAUCCACGUGCUUUUACUCCCUCCCAAAAAGUACAAAGAUGAUCUCUACAUUAAUCAUUUUACAAUUUCUGUCUCCUUCCUAACUAUUUGAAUCGGCUUGUUCUGCAAAUUGCAGUGAAGCUUUAGAAUACUCCUACUGCAGACAGAGUUCAAUUCCUCUAAAGCCUUGACAAAACAUAAUAAUUUUGGAGUGGAACCUGCUGCUGGAUGCACGGGAAAUAAAACACUGAAAACAAAAAAUGCUCUUGAGCACACAAUGAAAUAUGUUUUCAAUGCGUUAUAAUCAAGUUGCUUUAAGAACAACAGCAGUCUUAAUAAGAAAGGAAUAGAAGGAAAAGCAACAAAGUCAAUAAAAUUGUUGAAAGUAUUACACUAGGAUUAGACCUGCAAUCCAUACAUGCAACAAACCAAACAAGCAGAAACAUUGUUCAGCUGGAGGUUCUCCGUGCUUGAGGUUGAAUAUAAGUAGCCCUUCAAAACCACCAAAGGCCCAGGCAAGGAAAAUAAACGCCUUUGAAGUCUGUUAACUCCAUAGGGAGAUAUCGCAGUUGGCAAUUUCAAACCAUGAAAAUAAAUACUGUACGUACAUGUAAAGAAACCUAGUAUGUACUGUGUAUUCUGUAAUUUUUUUCCUCAUUUUACGAUGUAACUUCUUGCUAUAGCAUCUUGCUACCUGUGAUGCAUCAGACUCAAAUAAACAGUUGUAAGGAUCUGCCUUUAUGUGUUCAAGACAAAAUGAUGAAAGACACAGUAAAUUCAGACUCAGAAAGUCUAGUUCCCUUGGACGCAACAUGUGUUAUAAACCAGGGGAUCAGAAGUGCUGCCACAUGCA